AAAUUGAAGAGUUUGAUCAUGGCUCAGAUUGAACGCUGGCGGCAGGCCUAACACAUGCAAGUCGAACGGUAACAGAAAGCAGCUUGCUGCUUUGCUGACGAGUGGCGGACGGGUGAGUAAUGUCUGGGAAACUGCCCGAUGGAGGGGGAUAACUACUGGAAACGGUAGCUAAUACCGCAUAACGUCGCAAGACCAAAGAGGGG
rnacentral:rRNA from 1 species